UAUACACCUUCACCACGCGAACGAUGUGGACUGACACUCCGCAACAACGAUUACUAUUCUUCAGAAACACACGGUUUCUGCAUUCACCGGCCCGUGAAUCCGUAUACGAGCACACACGGUGCCGAUAUACACGAAGACUGUACAGUGAACGUCAUCAACCGAAGAACAAGGCUACGUUUAACUUGCGAGCUUGACUCCACGUUUUUUCCUACAUACGAUCGUAAUUAGCGUUCAACAUGCUAUAAGAAUCAACUCGGUGUUGACUAUACGGGGCACGUAUGCACUGUUCAUCGAUCACAAAAAUUCAUGACAUAGCUUAUAUGAACGUCCGUGCAUUGUAUAAACGUAACAUGGAGAUAUAUAUUCUGCAUUGUGUCGAAACUGAUGG